rnacentral:antisense_RNA from 19 species
UUUAUGGGCGGGCGGUGGUAGGGAGACCCUCGGGUCUGCCGGAAUCCUCUAGAUCCGGUUCGCCAACCUUGUCAUUCGCCUGCCCACCC